UACGUAGGGUGCAAGCGUUAAUCGGAAUUACUGGGCGUAAAGCGUGCGCAGGCGGUUUUGUAAGUCUGACGUGAAAUCCCCGGGCUCAACCUGGGAAUUGCGUUGGAGACUGCAAGGCUAGAAUCUGGCAGAGGGGGGUAGAAUUCCACGUGUAGCAGUGAAAUGCGUGGAGAUGUGGAGGAACACCGAUGGCGAAGGCAGCCCCCUGGGUCAAGAUUGACGCUCAUGCACGAAAGCGUGGGGAGCAAACAGG
rnacentral:rRNA from 1 species